GCCGGGGUAGCUUAGCCCGGUAGAGCGCCCGUCCGCGGACCGGGAGGUCCCGGGUUCAAAUCCCGGCCCCGGCGCCA
rnacentral:tRNA from 1 species